rnacentral:rRNA from 1 species
AGAGCGAACGCUGGCGGCAGGCCUAAAACAUGCAAGUCGAACGGACCCUUCGGGGUUAGUGGCGGACGGGUGAGUAACACGUGGGAACGUGCCUUUUGGUUCAGAACAACUCAGGGAAACUUGAGCUAAUACUGAAUAAGCCCUACGGGGGAAAGAUUUAUCGCCAUUAGAGCGGCCCGCGUUGGAUUAGCUAGUUGGUGAGGUAAAGGCUCACCAAGGCUACGAUCCAUAGCUGGUCUGAGAGGAUGAUCAGCCACACUGGGACUGAGACACGGCCCAGACUCCUACGGGAGGCAGCAGUUAGGAAUCUUGCGCAAUGGGCAAAGCCUGACGCAGCCAUGCCGCGUGAAUGAUGAAGGUCUUAGGAUUGUAAAAUUCUUCAGUGGGAAGAUAAUGACUGUACCCACAGAAGAAGCUCCGGCUAACUUCGCGCCAGCAGCCGC